CUGCACGCCCUCACCUUCUUUCCGGAUUUUACCUACGGCUCUCUUCUGUCUUCCCUCCUAUUCUUUAACUUUCGCGCUGAGCUUGCUGCUCCAGUGACACAGCAGUUUAAUGCAAUGCGGUCGAGACGGCUGGGCGACUGACUGGGCUGUAGACCCAGACAGCUGCUUGUGAGAUUUUUGCUCUUCUCGGUGUAUAUCAUUGUAUGACAUAUGAUGCUCCAUGUAUGCCAGGGCCGGGAGGUCAGGCAAGUACUUUCCUUUGCUACUUCUAGACUCUAUCCUUCAAAAAUCUCAUGGACUUUGAGGUGAAAAAAAUCUUUUUUGGGGAGAGGGAGGUGAAGUAAAACUUGACUCUUUUCUCACACUGUGCAGUAAAAUUACUCAAUAUUUGUUGGACAACUCCUUGAAGACAUUGGAGAUGAUCUUUGCAACUUUGGAACAGGGGCAUAUAUAUAUAUUUAGGGAGGACACAGAAAUCACAAACUAUAAAGGAAAAAAUCAGUUUGAUUUUAUCUUACCUCAAAAAAUGAUAAGUAUUUGAGGUGAUGCAUAUGUUAAUUUGAUUUUGCCAUUCCACAAUGUGUGUAUGUACAUACAUACGUAUGUGUGAAUAUAUAUAAUACAUAUCAAAACAUCAUGUUGCAGCUGGGAUUACACCUGUAAUCCCAGCUACUUGGGAGGCUGAUGCAGGAGGAGUUCAAGGCCAGCCUGGGCAACCUAGCAAGAGUCUAUCUCAAAAUUAAAAUAAAAAAGACUAGGGAUGUGGCUCAGUGCUUCCCUGGUUCAAUCCUCAAUAUUGGAGAACAAAAAAUAUCAUGUUGUACACUGUAAAUAUGUAUUUAAAAAAAUAGCAGCAGCAACAACAACAGCAACAACACCAAAACCCAAACAAGAGACAGUCUUGGAGAGCUAUAAAAGGACAUAUGUAUGUUCUGGUGAGAUGCUGUCAUCUAAAGAAAAUAAAACUAAGUAAAAUAAGUUACUAGUACAAAAAAAUCCCUGGAAGUCACAUAUGGAAGAAAAUUUGCUUCAUACAUAUAUCUAACAAAGAACAUUAACCCAGAAUGCAUAGAGAAUUCCUACAACUCAGUAAUAAGGCAACCAACCAGUAAAAACAUGGCAAUAGAUUUGAACACGUUUUUUAAGAGAAGAUAUAUAAAUGACCAGUAAGCACAUGAGCAGAUAGAUGCCCAACAUCAUUAGUCAUAAGGGAAAGUAAAACCACUUUGAGAUACCAUUAUGCACCCCAUUAGAAUUACGAAUUAAAAACAAAAAAUGAAAACCACCAAAUGUUGGCUAUUGUAGAUUACCUGGAAAUACAUCACACAUUACUGGAAAUUGUAUAACCACUUUUAGAAACAAUUUGGUAAGAUUUUUUUAAAAUGAAGUUAAACAUGCAUUUAUUAUAUGAUCUAAUAAUUCCACUUCCAGGUAGUUACCCAAAAGAAAGGUGUACAUAUUCACACAAAGAAUUGCACAUUAAUAUUCAUAGCAGCUUUACUCAUAAUAAAAGCCAAACUAAUAACUAAAUAUCAUCAACAAGUGAAAUAAUAGCAAGUGUAGUAUUUCUAUACAAUAGACUAUUCAGAAUAUUUAACAAUACCAUGGAUGUAUAUAAUAAAUACAUGCUGAAUGGAAGAAGCCAGAUGUUAAAGAUUGUAAGAAUCCAGGUAUAUGGAGCUCUAGAAUAGGCAAGUCUAUAGCAACAGAAGGGAAAUUCCUGGUGCUAGGAUUGGAGGACUACAGAGAGGAAUAGGGAAAUGUUUCAGUGUUUAUACAAGUCUGUGCAUUUUCCCCAACUCAAGGAAAAAUGUUCUAAAAUUGUUAUUUUUUAUUUAUUCUGGAUACAAACUAUGCCCAAUAAAGCUGGUUUAAAAAGUAAAAA